CAAAAAAAUGUUAAUCUAAUGAAAAGGUCCAAUAACCUUUUAUAAGUAGAUUUUUUCAGAAUGUUUCUCUUUUAAUAGUAUAGAUUCCUCAAUAGUCAAUAUAUGCAUAUAUCAUGUGAACUAAAAGCAUUGAAAAUUACGUACACCAAACUAAGAUAUUGGAACUACCCUUACUCUUGGUCAAAUCUAUUUUACUAAAAUAGAAAUCACAGCCUUAUUUCAUGUGUGAUUUUUUAAGUUGGAUCAUCCCUUAGAAGAUUACUUAAAUAAGAUUUUGCAUACAUAUUUAAAUUUUAACUAUUCUAAAAAAAAUCAAAUAGAUAUUCUCAUAUUUUCUCUGAAUAAAAUCUUUUCAUACCAUUAAAUUUACAAUAUCAUUAUACUUUUCAUUAAAGCAACAUUUAAAAAAAAAAAAAAAUUUGUUUUCAUUUAUGAUAUAAAUUUUCACUUAAACAAACCCUUUAAAUAUUUAAUUAAUUUCGUAAUUAUUUAAAUAUAAAUGUAUAUUUCAUUUUUUACUAAAACAAACCUUUUAAUUGUCUAAUUAAUUUUGUAAUUAUAUUAAAUUCAUGUAAAAUUUGUAUUAAAUUUGUGAUAUUAAUUUAACAUAGUAUAUAUCAAUUAAAUAUUUCAUCUCUAACAGUUAGGAUUUGUUAAUUUAGAAUUUUGUACGAUACUGUUGAAAAUAUGUUAACAAUAUGAAUUAUCGGUCUACAAAUGCUAUUUUGAAAGUGCAUUCAGUUUCUGUUAUUAAAUAUGGUGUCCGGUUUAGUUUUAUUUUUUUUCAAUAAUAGAAGUAUAUGACUGCUUUGUUUACAAAAAGAUAAUCAAACUUAUUUUUAUAUAGACCAUAUUCAUAUAUUAUUCAUUAAUGUAAUUUUUUUUUGUUUAUUUAUCUUGUGCAGUUUUGAAUGUGCAAUAGGUAUUGUACCAAUUUAUGUCAUUAACAUAAAUAAGAGAUGAAUGAUUGAAAAAAAUACAUUUCAUGUGAAUAUUUUUGUUUUCAGUGUGGUUAUUAUCAAAUGUAGUUGUAGGUUUAAGUGUUAAUUAUAUAAAAUGAUGUAUGAUAGAUGAAGAAUUGCAAACAAAAGUUUAACAUUGAAAGAUUCAUUGUAAAUAAUCCAAGAGUUUUGGGAUAAAAAGGUCCAAAUUAUCAAUAGACAACAUAAGAAACCUCACAAAAGAUAGAUAAUAAAGAGAAAAUUAAGGUUUAAAAUGACAAAAAUAAAGACAAUGCAUUAAUAUUUCUGGUUUAAUAAUUUAAAUGAAGCGGAUGUUUUAUAAAUUACACUUAAUAUAGGCUAUUUAGUCAAAUAACAAGUGUAAUCGUAAAAAAAUUAAUAUCUAAGUUAAUAUUAAAUUGAACAGAAUUUAUCGUAAAUAUCACAUAAUGUAAGGUUUUAAUUAAUGUACAUGCUUUAAUAAGAGAGAUAUCACUAAGAAUUUGAAACAAUUAAUUAAAUUACUGCGUGUAAUUGUGUAAACUAUAAAAUUGUUAUGUUUGAAAAUAUUAUAUUAAACUAUUACUAAUAUGAUAAAUAUUAAAAUUAUAUACCACUAAUCAUAUAAAUCAAAUAUUUAUAUGUAUAAGAAUAAAAAUAAUCACCCGUACGGUUGUGCGGAUCAAGAUCUAGUUUUAGUGUAAGUUAUGAACUUAUGAUGAUGGUGAUGACAUCACCUUUUUGAACUUUGACAAUUUUCAUGCAUGACUUCACCGUUUUUACAUUUGAAGUUAUGUUCUUGAUAAACAAAUUGUAAAAUUCUUUUAGGUAUUUCCGUAUUUGUUUAAACUUUUUACUAGAACCACCUAUUUCAAGCGUAUAUAUAAUUUGUCCAUGUAACCGAAAAGGCAGGUCCUACCCACUUUCACGCUGCCUUAAUAUAUUGUGAAAAUUAUACAUAAAAGAAUAUGGUCUAGUGGUUUGUAAAACAUGACAUAAUAGAUAUAGUUAACAAACAAUACCACUAUCCCCAGGAAGAUAAUUGGAUAAAUUAAUAGUUUAACAUAACAUUUUGAAUGUAAUAUUAAUUGUUGUGUUACUGAUAAAAAUAAACGAUUAUGUUAACUGGACCCAAUUGCUCAUGUUAGAAAUGGGCCAUGUUAAUUGGAUCCAGUUAAGCAAUUCGAAUAGCUUAGUAUGGAUGGAGGAAUGAGAAACGCUCGAUUUCUACUUGGGUAGAGAGAGUUAUGAGGUUAUCAAUAAGGUGUUAGCCUCGCUCUCAAGUACAUUACAUGUGAGGACAUCAGUUUGGUCCGAUGACGAGAGAAACUUGUUGGAGAUCACCAAGUGUGUAUAUCUCGGAGACAAGUACAAUUCGUUUCUAUAGGAGAAAAGAGAUGAGAGUUAAAGCAAGGGUCAUUGGUGAAUGUUCUGAAAUUACUCAAGAUUGUUCACGGAAGAUUCCAAAGUAAGUUGAGUUGUAAAGAUUCGCGGGAGUUGAUAUGUGAUAAUCGCCUACCACACUGCUUUUGACACUUCACUAGCGAUAAGUCAGAUUAUUUUUUUAAUUAUUUUUAUAUUGAACACUCUAACACUUAUAGUUAGCAUCUCAAAUACUAAUUAAUUUUUGGGAUUUUUUUUUUUCUGAUUAAACUCUAGAUAUCCAAGACACAUGGAAAGUCUAGACUAAUCCAUAAGUAAAAAAAAGAUUCAGUUUAUAUUGUUUGUAAUUUCCAGGUUUGAGAUUUUGUAACUGAAUUUGAAAUUUGAACUGAACUAAUUUUUUUUUUUUGUAUCCAAUUUGAAUUGAACGAUAUUUUGGGUGUUAAGCAUUAUCUGCGUCCGAAUUUGAAUGACAAUUUGAAUGAGUAACAAAAAAUAAAUGUCAAAUACAUCGGAAUUUUUGAAGUCAAAUAAAUAUCCAAGAUUUUGAAUUAGUAUCCAAAAUAAAAAUUUUAAAUCUAAAAGACUAAUUUAAAUAUUCAACUUGAUAACUAUUUUGAUCAAAUUCGUAAAAAAAAAUAUACGAACAAAGUAUUGUUCAUAAAUCCAAACUAUUAUUAAUCAAAUUUAACUCAAAUAUCUGAAUAUGAGAUGCCGAACCAAAAUGUUAAUUCUACUUGUUAGUUUAAUAUUGAAAAGAAAAUUAAUGAAGCAAAAAAAAAAAAAAGAGGUUAACAAAAUAAAUAAGAAAAGAAAGAAAAAGGCAAAAACAAUGAAUCCAAAGAGCGGUCGGAAGUCUCCUUCACUGUAAACAUAGCUGAGCUUCCCUUUUCUCCUUGAAAACUCGUCUCUAGCUGAAAUGAACCCUCAAGCUGACAAUGACCGGAAGGAGUCUCAGGAUUCCACGGCGAGGCACAAUUCAGCUGUAGGAGGAGGAGGAGGUGCGAGGUAUAGGCUGAUGUCACCGGCGAAGCUUCCGAUCUCGAGGUGUAAUGACAUAACGAUUCCUCCAGGGAUGAGUCCGACUUCGUUUUUGGAAUCUCCUGUUUUCAUCUCAAACAUCAAGCCAGAACCUUCUCCUACGACUGGUUCUUUGUUCAAGCCCCGGCCAGUGCAUGUUAACUCAAGUUCUUAUACAGGAAGGACAUUGCAUCAGAAUACCUUCACCGAGCACAAGUCUACUGAAUUUGAAUUCAGACCUCCUGCAUCCAAUAUGGUUUAUGCAGAGCAUAGAAGUGAGCCACCAGUACAGGACCAUGGAUCCUCACACUCACCUUCUUCCAUCAGUGAGACCGCAGCUUCCUCAACCGACCUAAGCCGGCCAACUCCUCCUCCUCUUCAGACGCCACCAACCGGAUCUGAUCAAGAUGAAUCAGUUCAGACAUCUCAAAAUGACUCCAGAGGAAGCACGCCGUCAGUUUUGGCUGAUGAUGGUUACAACUGGAGAAAGUAUGGUCAAAAGCAUGUCAAAGGGAGUGAGUUUCCAAGGAGCUAUUAUAAAUGUACACAUCCUAAUUGUGAAGUGAAGAAACUAUUUGAAAGGUCUCAUGAUGGGCAGAUGACUGAUAUUAUUUACAAGGGCACACAUGAGCAUCCUAAACCUCAACCUGGUCGCCGAAACUCUGCUGCACAAGAAGAAAGGAUAGAGAAGGGCGUCUACAACUUGUCUCAAGCCAUUGAACAAACUGGUAAUAAUAACCCUGAAGUACCUCCGACAACUGAAGAUGGUGGAGAAGUUAAAGAUGACCUGGAGGAGGAGGAGGAUCCAUUUACAAAACGGAGGAGGUUGGAAGGGAGCAUGGAGAUAACAACUCCACUUGUGAAACCUAUCCGGGAGCCUCGUGUUGUUGUUCAGACUCUGAGUGAGGUUGACAUACUUGAUGAUGGUUAUAAGUGGCGUAAGUAUGGUCAGAAAGUCGUCAGAGGAAACCCCAAUCCCAGGAGCUAUUACAAGUGCACAGCUCCUGGAUGUCCAGUGAGAAAACACGUAGAGAGGGCAUCACACGAUCCAAAAGCUGUAAUAACAACAUACGAAGGCAAACACAAUCACGACGUUCCCACUUCAAAGUCUACCAACCAUCAUGUCAUCCAGCCUCGGUUUAGACCAGAUGAAACAACAGACACCAUCAGCCUCAAUCUCGGUGUUGGAAUCUCCUCUGAUGGACCUGACCACACUUCCAACGAACGUAAUCAACAACUCCUCAUCAACCAAACUCACCCAAAUGGAGUCGGUUUCAGGUUUGUUCAUGCUGCUCCCAUGUCAUAUUACCACGGUAGCUUAAACAGCGGAAUCCAUCAGUAUGGCUCGAGAGAAACACAGAACGAGACUCGAAAUGGUGGUGUCUCGUCCUUGAACCAUUCAUCUUACCAGUAUCCACAUAACAUUGGGAGAAUACAAUCGGGUCCUUAGAAGGUACAUGAAGCAAACAGUAUUGGAUUCUUCUUAGGUUAGUAAUGAGACCUUGUUCUAUAUACAGAGAGCUGAUCUUGAUUUUUAAACUAUAUAUAUGUGUUCUGCUCCCAAAAAAUGUAUUGUACAAAUCUAAUUAUAUAAAAAUAUGUUGUCUUCCUCCUGGUGAUGCCACGUCACUAAGUGGAGGAAGGAGGAAGUGACACGUGUAUACCUUUUUUAAAAUGUUGCGUUUCAUUAAAGUUGUCUCGAUUUAUAUGGGUAUCUUUAUUUGGGCCGAAUGACAAAUAGAAGGCAAGCCCGUUUAUUCCAUCUCUUCUUCCUGACAUGAGAAUUUAGGGUUAGCCGUCGCUGCGAAGGUCUGAUUCUGUGAGACAUCAAUGGCGGUUCUGAAAAGACAUCUGGUCACUGGAGGUUCCAUGUUCUCCGUUGGCGGAUUUGAUGUCAUUCCCUUUCUUCUUCUGUUUGGAGAGGAGAAUCUGAGGAUUCAAAUCAAAGGUGUUAAAGCUUUGGAGACUCCAGGAGCAAGCAAGGAACUCCAUCGACUUGAGAGGCAUCUCCAAUGGCUGGUAACCUAGGUCGUUUAUUCCUCAAUGCCACAUCAGUGACAUACUUCCCACAUUAAAGACACCAAAUACAGGCUCCGUAGAGAAGAGAGUGGUUCCUCUGCCACAUCUUCCAAGUAUGGUGGUGUUAAGCAAAUUGAAUCCAUCACACUAUCUAAACUUAAUAGCUACGAUCUCAAUUCACCCCUCAAUGAUGAAACACAGUGUUUGGAUCACACAAACGAGCAUCUGAUGCUGUUCCAGUUAUUGAAGGAAGUCCAGCCAGCACAGAACAAGAGCCUACGCAGACAGAUUCAGUCAUAACCUCUACCGAGACUCCCAUUGAUGAUGAAAAGACCCCAGUUCAAAGAAGGUUCGCAAACACUGAUAACUCCAACUGUGGAGACUUGGGACUCACAAAAUACAAUCGAAUUCCAUUUUUUUGUUUCAAAGCUUUAUUUUAUCCUUCAAUAAUGUUGUAGACCACAUACUUUAAUUAGCAGCAAGAGGUUAUUAUUUAAUCUUUAUUUGGUUAUUUGUUAUGAGUAUUACUUAAUUUGAAUUAUAAAAAUCAUUAAAUAGGUCCCUCUGAAUAUGGGCCUCGGCACUAACUGAACCUAACAAAAUAAUCUCCAUUUUUUGGGUACAUGGCCUCAUUUAGGUUCUGUAUAUUUGUUGACAAAAAAAAAAGGUUCUGCAUAUUUAAAGUUUUGUGCUGUGUAUCGCAUUAACUUAGUGGACAUUACUUCUGAUUGCUAAGAUAAGAUAUCACAAUGUUUAUGCUUAUUGAAAUUUAGUCCUUCAUUGGUAAUCAAAUUUAAAUUUAAGAGAAAAAUGAAAAAAAUGAGAAACAAAGAAUUUAAUACAUUAUCAAAACAUAUAUUUAGAAAACAGUAAGAGAAACAACAAACAUGUAAGCCAAAUAAAGUUUUCUUUUACCAAAAAUAAAUAAUAUAACUUAAAAAAUACAAAUUUAAGAGAAAAAUGAAAAAAAUUGAGAAACAAAGAAUUUAAUACAUUAUCAAAACAUAUAUUUAGAAAACAGUAAGAGAAACAACAAACAUGUAAGCCAAAUAAAUUUUUCUUUUACCAAAAAUAAAUAACAUAACUUAAAAAUACAUAACUUUUAAAAAUAUAUAGUGAAAUUUCACAAAAAUAAAUAUAUAGUGAAAUCUCAUAAAAUAGUAUCAUAAAUCAUUAAUGAUAUUUUCAAAAAUUACGAUCAGACCAAUAUAAACGGAAAAAUGUUGAUCAGGCAUUUUUUUGUUUAAUCACAAAAAUCAAGUAAAGUGAACUUCAUAAGAUAUUGUUACAAAAUAAAAAUAAAAAUAUUAGAUAAUCACAAUUUUUUCACAAAAUAAUAGUUAGAAAAUAAAACAAAAUAAGAUAAAAAAUAAAAUAAUAAAUAUAAAGGUAAAAAUGUAUAAGUUUGUUUUUAUAGUAUAAAAAAUAUUAUUAUAUCUAACUAAAUCUAGACUAGCAUUACGACCAUUUAACAUCGUCUUCACGAGUACAUACUAAAAAAAAUAUGCGGAAGCUCAAACCAUCAACAAACUAUCAAUAUCAUGGAUAACAAAUGCAACCUUUGCUUCUAUUCCAAGCAAGUUAAGAAAUUCAUAACCAUCCUUUGAUAUGAUGUUACCGAUCCGACUUUAAAAUGCAACAACAACAUCAAUGUUUCCUGCACUCUACAUGUUGUAUCGAACAUAUUUGUCACAAAUUAUUUUAUAAAUUGAUUGCUAUAUUUGAUGUCUGAGAAUCAAAUUAGUUGUCCAAGUUAAUAUCUAUAUAUAUAAAAGAGGGUUUCUCUCACUCCUGGGCGUGACGCAUAGGAUUACACGUCAUAAAUUCGAGCUUUGUGAAGCCGACAGGACCGAGAAUUAUGAAUGUGUAUCCAGCCCGGUGAAACGCAUUUCAAUUCUGACCCUAAUACGGCUGAAGCAAAGAAAUGGAGUUCUUCUCUCUUUUGUGUGACGUUUGUGAUUCAUCUCGCUAUCUGAGAUGUCUACACCAACAAUGGAGUUUGGGGGUGACGAUUGAGACAAAACGACGUGGAGAAUCUCGGUGUCUAGCUUCAAGAUAACGAUUCGUUUUUGGUUCUUAUCCUGCAAGAUGUUACCAGAUGUCCAGAUUCAUCGCCUUUAAGAAACCUCUUUACUCCAUCGACGCACAUCAAGCAUGAUCUGACAUUCAAUGUUGCUUAUUCCUCUUCUAGGCGGUGUUUUUUCUCUUAUAUAAAGAUAAGUCUUCGUUACUUGAACAUCAUCCUCACAGUUCGUGAUAAUCCCAAGUUAAUUGCAGUCUAAUGGCUAACUCAUUUGUUUUUCUUACAGAUCUGAACCUCGCCUCUGUUCUUUCACCGUUGAGGUGCGACUUCUCAGGUUCUGAGAGGCACGUGAAAAACUGGGGCGAGUUGAUUGGGUUUGGACAUGCUCCUCCUUGAUGUAAAGCGGAGAGAAUCCAGUGUCGUUACCAACAGAAGAUCUUGGACAUCAGUGACAAAGACCACUUAUGGCAUUCUAGACUUCUCGCUUUAGUGGAAAGAAUACAAAGAGAUGAUGGAGUUGAUGGUGGAAUCUUUAAGGAAACAAUCUCUGGAGCUGCUGGAGGAAAAAGGAUUCUGAUUUAAAACAAUCUUUGGGAGGCCAAUUAGUUUCAGUGGCAAAGAAAAGCAAAAAGAAAAAAGCAAAAGAGAGAGCUUCAAGUCAGAAGGAACUUAAAGAAAGUGAUGAAGUGCUUAAACGGAAGGAGGAGGAUUUGGAUGAACAAUCAUACAAACUGAGAAUAAAAGCAAGUUUUUUUGUCUUUAUUGUUAGUCACCAUAUUAUCAGUAUAAAAACAAUGCAAGUUCAGAUUAUUAUCA